rnacentral:rRNA from 1 species
CUACGGGAGGCAGCAGUAGGGAAUAUUGCACAAUGGGGGAAACCCUGAUGCAGCAACGCCGCGUGAGUGACGAAGGCCUUCGGGUCGUAAAGCUCUGUUGUAUGGGAAGAAAAAAAUGACGGUACCAUGCGAGAAAGGACCGGCCAACUUCGUGCCAGCAGCCGCGGUAAUACGAGGGGUCCUAGCGUUGUUCGGAAUCACUGGGCGUAAAGCGCGUGUAGGCGGCUUAGUAAGUCAGAUGUGAAAUCCCUGGGCUCAACCUAGGAAGUGCAUUUGAUACUGCCGAGCUUGAAUAUGAAAGAGGGUAGUGGAAUUCCUGGUGGAGUGGUGAAAUACGUAGAUAUCAGGAGGAACUCCGGUGGCGAAGGCGGCUACCUGGUUCAAUAUUGACGCUAAGACGCGAAAGCGUGGGGAUCAAACAGGAUUAGAAACCCUUGUAGUCC